rnacentral:rRNA from 1 species
GAUGAACGCUGGCGGCGUGCCUAAUACAUGCAAGUCGAGCGAACGGACGAGAAGCUUGCUUCUCUGAUGUUAGCGGCGGACGGGUGAGUAACACGUGGAUAACCUACCUAUAAGACUGGGAUAACUUCGGGAAACCGGAGCUAAUACCGGAUAAUAUUUUGAACCGCAUGGUUCAAUAGUGAAAGACGGUCUUGCUGUCACUUAUAGAUGGAUCCGCGCUGCAUUAGCUAGUUGGUAAGGUAACGGCUUACCAAGGCAACGAUGCAUAGCCGACCUGAGAGGGUGAUCGGCCACACUGGAACUGAGACACGGUCAAGACUCCUACGGGAGGCAGCAGUAGGGAAUCUUCCGCAAUGGGCGAAAGCCUGACGGAGCAACGCCGCGUGAGUGAUGAAGGUCUUCGGAUCGUAAAACUCUGUUAUUAGGGAAGAACAUAUGUGUAAGUAACUGUGCACAUCUUGACGGUACCUAAUCAGAAAGCCACGGCUAACUACGUG